rnacentral:misc_RNA from 1 species
GUGCUCCUCAGACAACGCAUCUCCUUCUUACAUCCUUGUGCGCCCCUCAAGAGCGACAGUCACGCCGUCACUCACAAAAAGGGGCACCCACAACCGCUUCGGGCUUUCAACCCCCUCCCCAUUUUCGUCUGUAUACUCGCUUGUGCACCCCCCCCUUGCCUCGUCACUCGCUCUUCCUCUGUCUCUCUAGCGUGGCCGACACUGUAUUCUUUUCCUGCUGGUAGAUUCGUUUCUUUCUGCUGUUGGCUCAGGCGUUGACUCUACCUUGUGCAAGUCGGUGUGGGCGUGGCCUGCAUCUGGUGCACUGUCCUCUGCAAUCGCGUAUGCCUGUGUGCUCUCAGUGCGGUGAGACUGGCGUUUUUUAUGGUUGUCGUUUUUUGCAUGGGCGCUUGUUUUUUUCCUCUUCGUCGCUUCGUUCCUUGCUGUGCUCGUGGGCAUCGCUGCCACCUUACCCGGGCACACUCACUGCCGUCUUCGCUGCUAGUUGGGGGUGGCGAGGGACCGACUGCCACGCCAAGCACCUCUCUUGUGUUGUCUUCCUCUCUGUGUAAGUGCGCUUGAUAAGUUCGCGGUCACGCGCGGUGGUCGCCGUUGUAAAGAAAGAACAGGGGACGACGAACUCGGACGAGAAAGGUAGCGCGACAGUGCCGGGAGAUACACGCCGCGUGCCAAGCAGCACCCACCGCUGCGGAGAAACAAAAAAACGUCUCGAAACACGCAAGGGGAGAACGAGCAGGCGCACAGUCGGUCAUCGCUCGCUUGAAUCCACGUCUGCAGACGCUGUCUAUCCCUUCACGAAGCUACCACAACCGGCACCGAUGAAUGACACGUCGUUUUUGUCUGGUUUGUCCAGCAUCGGUGAGGCCAUUGGCGAGACAGCCUAUGGCCGAUGCAUCUCUAUCUUCGUCAUCAGCUGCGAGCCCUCGCUCGAUGAGUUAGCGGUGCGCCUUGGUGGGCCUGGGUGCCCGUGGGAGACGGUUCAGCUGCCUAUGCGGCAGCCGAUUGUCCUGCACCGCCACCCAGGCGCCCGCGUAGCGCGUCGCGCGACCGAGCUCGCGUUCGCCACGAAGUCGUAUGUCGAGAGCCUCACAUCGGACGUGGACGACCUGCAUCCGACUGGGGGCAUGGCGGCCAUGGAUAUACUCACCAGCACUGCCAUUAGCGCCGCCGCCUCGACGCUGACGACAUCUGCUGGGUCCGCUGCGGCAGUUGGCGGCCCAGUGACGGAGCUCACCGCUGCUACAGACACGCUGAAUGCCACCCCCGAUGCGGAGGGCAACCGCGGCGCCUCACAACCGUCGCUGCACGUCUGCUUCCAUUGGGCGAUUGGAGAGGUGCUGCCAGAAUUCGAUCCGCCGGCGGCAGACGCGACAAAGAAUGGAGAAGGCGAUGACGCAGUGUGCAGGGAAAAGGCGCAUGACAGGGAAGAUGGAAAGAGUGGAAGCUAUGAUGGUCGCAAAGGCGGCGGGGAGGUGCACUACAGCAGCAACGGUGUGGAGACGAACAGCGAGGCGCCUGCGACUACGGCACCGGCGGCCGAAACGGCAGCUGCCACCGCGCAUGAAGAGGCGAUGACGGAGGCUCAAGGUGGCCACGGCGAAGAGGCCGCGGCCGGAGUCGCAGCGCGGUUCAACCCGCCUCUCUGUGUGAACCCCCUCUCUGCCUAUGACGAUACUUUGGUUUCAGAAGUGAUGCGGACAGCAGACGACGACAGAGGCGGCCACGUACUCACGCCGCAGAAGGAUGGGUACUCUGCGGCCAUCUCCGGCGCUCUCUCGUCGCCCCCUCGCAGCAAAACGCCGCGUCGCCAGCGCCCCCAAAACUAUCGAUCGAGUAUCAUUCACAUGGAGAUGACUCCAGUUAUGGCGUCACCGUCAAAGGAAGCAGGCGGGCACGGUGCGACGACGGAGAGCCUCGUGAAGAUGAGCGAGGAUAACGACGAGGACGAGGACAACGUGGCGCCAGUGGUGAUGCACUUUCCUCCGCCACCGCCGGCGACAGGGACGGCACGGCCUCCAGUUGUCCAUUCAGAACCACAGGAGGUGGCACUGGACACCAACAUUAUGGCGCCCGUUCAACUCAGCAACGAAGCCGAACGCUUAUGCAAUACCGUAUUCACACCACUCUCCUUUAAUAACGAGACGGAGGGCACGCUGGUCCGCCAACGGCGGGCGGCGCCGGCGUCCGAAGAGCAACACAACACCGCAGCAGCCGUAAAGGCGCCUGCGCCGCCACAGCCAACGGCAAACAACCUGUUCGAGGGGGCCGAUAGCGGCGCUCUUAUCGUGAUGGUGGGGGUUGUAGCCAUCUACAGCACCAGCGGCACAGCGGACCCGCAUCGCGUUGUCUCUGUUGAGGUCUCGGCCACAACAGCUGACAAAGAGGGGACAAUGCACCACCCUGACUCGCACACGUCCGCUCUCUCGUUCCGCACCACGCCGGCCCUGCGAGGCCUCGCGGCGGUGGUACCGCAAGUGAGCAGUCCCGUUCUGUUGCUAUCCCGGUAUCCGAAUGAUGCGAGUCGCGCCGCUGGCGACGACGACAGAGGCGUUGCCAAUACCGGCCCUGCUGUACCGCCUGCUCUGCAUGCAACCUGCAUCCUCACAGAGAACGUGGCAUCUAUGGAAGGGGGAACUGCGGGUAGCUGCACAUCAACGACGCUGUGGACGAGCGUGGCCGACGUAGCACCUAGGCACGGAUCGUUGUUGCUGUCGGCGUCCUCUCCGGCACCCGCGCCACAGAUGAGCCACGAGGUGCGCUUCACUGGUGCCAACGGCGAUGUGGUCCUCACGCUGUGGACGUAUAUGACCGUGAGCGCGUAUCGGGACGCGGUGCUGAACCUGCGCUCUCGUGCCACGGAGAGCAGCGCGCAGCCCGUUCUGCAGAUGCUACUCAUCGAUGAGUCGCCGUCGAGGACGACAAAAACAAAAACGUCGAGCUGCCGAAACCCAUCAACGGCCACCGUGUGGGUGAGCUCGCCGUCAUCAUCCCACUCGGCACGCGCCGACGGCAUCGCGCACCGCGUCGUCACUGUGAGUUCGGCGUACGACAUCGUGCAGCAGCCGGUCAACGUACCAGUGCGUGGCCCGCUCGUCUACGUGGCGGUGCAGCCUUCCACAUCCGCGUCUGCUGCAUCGGAUGCGCAGCCUAUUUUUUUGCACAUGUUCUCCGACGCGUGGACGCGCUUGGCUGCACCCUCGCGCGCUGGCGGCACCCGCGCCGCCUCUUCCACCUCUGCUACGGCGGUCUUGUACUACCGCUUGGUCAAUGCCUCGACUGCCGCCGCCGCUGCGGAGUCGUCGUCGUUACCCGCGCCGCUUCGCGAACGACCCAGAGCGUCCAGCAAGACCAACAAGAAUGCCGAGCUGCGCGAGGUUACCAUCAUGAUCAACCCACCAGCGACGUUUCUUUCAGCGUUGCCACCCUCGACUGGCAGCCAUAUAAACACCGGCGUAUCGACCGCCGCCGACCAGUCCGACGCAGCUUUCCGACCAGCCUCAGCGUGGAAUCUGGCUCUCUGCCACGCUGUGACGCACGCCGUUCUCGCAGAAGCCUCCCCGGAAACAGGUGUUCUUGUCUACCACGGCUUUCUUCCCGUACUGAGUGACAGACGCAGAGCGUCUGGAAAGUGUGAAGCUCUGGGUGCAGCGGGUACCGCCAACGCCGACACCCCUCCCGUGGGCGAGGAGGCCCUUCCUCCAUAUGAGGUAACUCUGGUUCCCGCCGCCGGCUUGCCAAAGACGGGCGAUGGAGCAAGUCCUCCGCUGAAGCCGGCAGCGGGAACAAUGCGACCCAUUACCACCACAUCCCCUGCACGCGCCGCCCCAGCAAACCGUGGCAGCGGUCUUGCUUCGCAGGGAGUCGCAAAGGCAGCGAGCCCCAACGCGUGGUCGGGGGCCGUGUGGUUCUCUUCCUCCGCGCUGUACUCCGCCGCAUCCACCGGCGCGCACUGGAAGACGUCCAUCUGUGUAUCGUCGGCACCGGCGCUUCUGUCAGCGACGACGUUAAUGCUACGCUCACCCUCUGCGGCCCUAGGAGCCCAGCUUGAGGUAACGUGCGCCGUUCGCUCCCACACACUCGACACCGACUCGGCUGUGUUUUGCCUACGCUCGUUGCGCCUGGUACCGUCUUCGGUGGCCGGCGGAGCGCAGGGGCCGCCGACGGCUGCUUCGCCGUUGCCUCUGUCGCAGGUGCAGCUGUGGUUCACUACGAGCGGCGGCAGCGCAGAAGAGGUGCGCGCUGCCUGGGGUGUGGCGGGUGCGCCCUCAGCGAAGGAGCUGCAACACGCGUGGGCGCCAGCGGUGCCUGCGUCUAGCAGCUGCUGCACACCCGCCCUAUGCGUUGAUGCGGACGGUCAGUUGGCGUCUACUGGCCCGCCAGUUCUACUUUCAACGACCAACGCACGUGCCCGGUUGUGCGUGGCGCUAACCACUGCAGCGGAGACGACGGCAGUGUCAGACGGCACGGCCGAUGCGCGAGCACUACGACACUGUGUUGCGACGGUGCGCAAGAGUGUGAUUCAUCGCUACAAGGCUCACGCAUCGUCGAGGGCUGAGCAAGGCAGCGAUGAAGCCGAUAAUCAGCGACAAGCGCAGCCGCAGCUGACGGAGGAGCAGAUGGCGGAGGUCUUUGUGCAGUGCGUCAACGCCGUCGCUAUGGGUGUCGACAACUACGCGGAAGUGGAUCUGAGCCCCUCCCUUGUGGCGGCGAGCGAGCGACCCGGGAGGACGCGGCACCGGCUUCUCAUUAGCUUUGUCAGCGGUGCUAUCCGCAUGAGUCAUCAUGUGGUGCUUGAGCUUCAGGGCCAGUGGAUCAAGAUGCCGCGCCGGGUGACGGUGGUGUCGGAAAACUACACGCCGUCACCACGGCUGUGGGCCUUGCGGCGCAGCUGCAUUGUACGGCACCCAGACCCGCUACAUCGAGCCGUAUGCAGCCGUGUUGGCGUUUCGGAUGGAGUUCGACUGGCGCAGAAGGUGCUGGAGGCGUACAUGGGCUACGAUGUGGCAGUGCAAAGUGUGCCGCUCGACUACACAGAUCCGUCCGAGCACGCCGUGCAGACGCUGCUGCCGGGGCUGCUGUACGACAAGCUCGUUCUGCAGGUGAAGCAGAAGGAGGCGCGGCUGCAGCCGUACUGCGAGGUCAUUCGCAUUCUAUCCUCUGGAAUGCUGGCCGCGUCGCUACGACGAGGGGGCCACGCUGCAGCAGCGUUAGAGAAGACUGCCAGCGACCAUGACGACAUGGCGUUCGAGGAAACCACGGCGCUGCUGGAGCACAUCUUCGGCCCGGCUGGGCUUGCCCACGCUGCCUACGUAUCUGGGGCGUCGCGCAAGGUGGCCAUCGUGCAUUUUUUCUUCGGUGACGCCUACACGACUCGCACCGUGCUGAAUGUGUCCUGCACGGUGUCUGUCGAUGCCAUGGGUGCAGUUCCAAACGUCCCAACGCAGCCCUGCGGCGACGGCCAUAGCCCUCUGCCACCCUCUCCAGGCGGAUCUGUGUCAUCGAUAAAGAAAGCCACGUCUUGCAGCACCGCGUUUUCGUCAUCUUCCUUGCAGGUGCUGUGCGACAGUCUGAUCCGCACUUCGACACUCUGCAGCUUUCUUCCAGUGAGCUCCUUGGUGCACGCGUUCCCUGGUGAAAGCCGCCAUCGCUAUCCGUCAGAGCUCACGUGGUAUCACGGUAGUCUCAACAUCACGAGCGAGGAGGAACAGCGGCGGCGCGAGGAAGGUGAGGCGGCAUGGAGGCGCGGACUGACUGAGCAGCGGCUUGGCGUGUAUAUAAAGCCGGGCCCACUUGUCGUGUCCGCCAUCACGCAGCAUCCGUGUGACUGUCUGCCCCUGUUGGUGGAGCCGUCGCUGACACGGUGUGCAGACGGGCAGCACUACAUCGUCUUCGGCGGCCUCUCAGCGACCGCAAGGACUGCCUCGUCCAGUGUGUACGCGUUCGACGACACCGCGCAGACGUGGAAGCCGCUGCGCGCGCGGCUCAGCAGUCGCGGCAUGGCCUCCUCUUCCACCCCUGCGGCGGUGCCGCCGCCUCGCUACGGCCACACGGCCGUGUACCGCCCCGCUGAUGCUGCCGUCUACAUUUUUGGCGGCCGUGGCCGCAGCGGCGAUGCUGAGGCAGAGCCGAUGAGUGACUCCCAGCCCAGGGACGACGCUGGUGGUGCUUCUGCGUUGGUGUAUAGCGAUGUGUGGAGGUUGUCGUGGGACGCGAACGCGGGCACGGUGGCGGCGACAGAGCUGCACUGCACCUGGGCCGACAAACCUUCCCGUGACACUGGGGGUAGUGAGAAUCGCAUCUCCUCGAUGCUGACCGGUGACUUCGAGGGUGGACUUGCUCGCUGGCGCCAUGCGGCGGUGCUGCACAACGACUACAUCGUGGUGAUCGGCGGCCAGUCCAGCAGCGGCGCCUGCUGCUCGUGUGCGGAGGUACUGUAUCUCGACAUUGGCACGCAAGAGUGGGCUGCACGCCGCAGUUUCGGCACCGAGGUGCCGUGUCCGCGGUACGGGCUUGCCGCGACCCUCGUGAGCGGAGGGUCCGCUCUCUACAUCUUUGGCGGGUGGGGGCACGAGCAGAGCAAGGCUGGAAAGCUGCACAGCGCGGCGCACUCCGGCAGCGACGCAAACGGUGCCGCAGCACGCAAAGAUGAGGAGCAAAGUGCGGUGGCCUUGUCGGACUUUUUCAAGCUCGACCUCAUCACGCGCAUGUGGAGCCGCGUGGAGCCGAACGGCACCGUGCGACCGCCAGCGCUGGAACUUGCCGACAUGACCUCGUGCAUCAUGGAUGACUGUCCCGUGAUCCUGCUUGUUGGCGGCCGCACCAGCAGUGCCGUGGUGGCGACGCCGACAGCAGAACAGGCAGCCGCUUCGCCGCUGAUGGUGUUUCUCUUCUCCACGGCGACACUCUUUUGGCGCAUCGUGCGCAUGGACUGCACCCCGGUUGCGACACGCUUUGGGCUGCGGGCGGUGGCGUCGGCAGCCUCGGCCAAGGCUCCGGGGCUGAGGAACAAAAUGAAGAAUGCGCAACGGGCACAUUCGUCGUGCGCGCGCCGUUCACUUCCAUUGCGCGGGCCGCGUAUUGGCAGUAUUCUUAUCGUCGGCGGGCUGCCGCUUGAGGAGGCAGAAAUCGCGCAAACAACACCGGCCAUCUCGAUGCUUCUUGCCGCCGGUAAUGGAAGCGCUGCCGCUAGCCGCCGUGCCGCCAGCGUGUCCCGUGGGAUGGGAGAGUCUGUGCCCUCGAAGCAAGGGUUUCUCACACCAGGCCCGCCGCCAGUGCCCCGCAGUACUGCGAUGGGCCGGCCAAUGACCGGCCCGGCACGAACGACAUCACGCGGGCAGCACCCGCCGCCGUCGGGUCACCGUAGGGCGCCAGCCAUCGCAUCCGGGUGGCUGCAGACAUCCCAGAGCAUGCGUGCAAGCGGCGACGGGAGGUACGAGCAUUCUAGGGCGGCGGGGGUACUUGCGCUGCCGACGACUUCGGCCGUUGCCAUCCGCCAGUUGACGGAGCGACUUCACGGCCCUGCCUCAGUGUUGGGGCAAGCCACCACCGCGGCAACGCCCGCGGGCCCUCAUCACCCGUCGUGCUACAGCACACUGACGCCCUCGCAGCAGCGCCGACUUGUUCGGCGAUUGUACACGCAAAGCAUCGAAAUCCGCGCUGUCCAUCGCCAGCAGCUGCAGAACGAGGUGAACCAGGAGCGCGCCACGCCUGCCUUCCGCACUAUCAGGAGCCGCAGAUGCUCCCCUGGCGCUGGUCGUAGCUCCAUGCCUGCCGGGGAGUCCACAGCGCCGCUGCACCGCCCGCCCUAUGGCGCUGCCGCGACAGUGGACGAGGGGUCGUCGCCUUCAGCAACCCGGGACACGAUUGAAGCCAACGGCAGCGGCGGCGCUUUCAUUCACGGCGGCCCGAUCGCAGGCGUUUCACUUGCUGGCCGCGACUUGCAGGACGCCUUCCUCGUGCGUGGCAGCAGGAGCAGUAGUCUGACAACGUCCAGCAGCAGCAACAGUCGCAUGUCUAGCCGCAGUGAAUCAGAGUGGGACGCUGAGGUUGUGGGGCCGCAGCCGGUGGAUGCCUCUUCCACGGCUCUGUCGGGCGAGGGUGACGGCUCAGACAGCAAGUAUGCAAAGCACGUCGAGAAGGUAGAUGCGGGCGCUAAGGUGUCUGAAGCCGAGUCAGCUGCGCCCGAGCCGGACGAUGCGAUCGCGGGCAUUGCUGCGACGCUGCAUUGCGACGACGCGAAAACCUCCUCAGAAGACGAGGGGUCGGCAGUGACAGAGAAAAAGUCCGAAAAGAGCGAGUCUUGCAAGGAAAACGACGACCACUUCGAGGUUGCGUCUUCGGAUGGCUCUUCGGCGGUGCGACAGUGGCGAAAUGCCGUGGCGCCGACCGCGGCGAACCCAGUGCCGAUCUCGAUGCCGGUGCAUGUUCCGGCGGCUGACAUGGAGAGCGAGGAGGUGAAGGUGGGCGACGAGAAGGACGACGCUUCCGUCGCCACGUCUGGCCCGCCGCAGGCGGAUGAGGUGGCCCCAGCGGCAGAAGUGGAGGAAGAGGAACCGCACAAGAUCGAGCAGCAAGCGCCUCACGAGCCUGCUACGCCACCACCAGCGUCACAGUCGUCGUCGAAGUCCCUUUCGCUCCCGCCAGCGGCGCUGGCGGCGAGCGAGAAAGCGGUCGCUGGUGAUGAGGCCGCCGCCGCGGCGCUGUGCCUACCUGAUGACAGCAGCGCUGUCGCAUCGCCGCUUCCAUCCAUCCACAGCAUCCCUGCUGUCGAUCACGACGACAAGAUCGACAGAGAUGGUGCCAGCGACGACCCCGAGGAGGAUGUCGUUACCCCGUCGACGCCGCCGCUUGAGGUGCGGGGCAAAGAAAACGAGGCGCAGCCGAAGGAGAAGAAUGACGACUACGCUGACACCGACGACGACUGGGAAAGCAUGUCGAACGCCGACGAAAACGACGGCCACGCGGGCAGAAUCAAGUCGACAAGCAGCGCGGAAAGUCGCUUUUCCAUUGGCGAGGCAGCGGAGGAGUUGAUGGAGGAUCCGACCCCGCCGCCCGCCCCGCGCGAACACACCACACCACCCUCGUCGUCGUCAGUUCUUUCGUUGCCACCAUUAAAGGAGGCACGCAUCGUGCCGGAAGUUACCGCUGUGCGUGCAGAGGAGUUGUCGGAAGCAGCGACGGCCUCGUCGGAUUCCUCGUCUGUUGAAGAUGUGGCAGAGAAGCCUCUCGGUGCCGUCGCUGAAGAAGCUGUUUUUUCCAGCCAAGCGAGGGAGGUCAAUGACGUGUUCUCUUCUUUCGCCUCGUCGUUGGCAGACGCUCCCGCAGUCGCUGCACCAGCUGUGGAGGCGCCAGCAGCACCCGUCUCCCCACUGCAGAGCUCCAAUGCUGGCGAUGAGGACGACAGUAGUGAGGCGGCGCCAUCCACGCCUGCGGUGGGGACGUCGCAUCUGGCGGCAGCGGAGGAGGACGAUAAGGAGGAAGCUGCGUUUGAAGAGCCGCAGCAGGACGCCGAUGCUCUAGUGGAGCAGCCGCCCGCAGCGCCGCCUACCCCUUCGAGCACGUCUUUUGCUGCGCUGGAUUCGCCCGCCGCGCCGCCUGUGCCUGCCUCCUUCUCCGACAGUCGACAGGAUUCAAGGCAAUGGGCGGAUACUGAAGGCCCCCACGCCACUGCAACGCCUCCUGCGGAGGCGAUAGAACCCGCCUUAGCGGUUCAUGCAGACAUCGGCGAUGAAAAUGCCAGUAGUAAGGCAGAGACGCCUAUCGAUGAAAGUGAGGCUGCCACGCCUCUUCCGGUGGCGGAGCAGCCAGAGGAGGAGGUCCACUCAUCCAACGAGAGCGACAACGAGGCUGCCCUCGCCGCCAAUGCCGCGCCGGCCACUGACUGUCAGACAACGUCGUUGUCUGACUCUUCUGAAGUUCUCUCAGAAACGCCGGAGGCACCGGCAGCGGUGCCCGAUUCGCAUGCCUCUUCAGUUGCCGCUGGAAACGUGUACGACGCUGGCGCGGCUGCAGCAUCUCCUCCCACGCAUGAUGAGGAGGUGGAAGAGACGCAGGAUGCCCAGAGGCUGCACGGCGAGAGCGACUUUGGCGGGGAGCCCGGUGUGCAGGACGAUGCUGAGGAAAGUGGCUUAGCGAUGGCAAUGGGACCGUCAGCAGCAGAUGUUGACGAAAAGACGCUCGAGGGGUCUUCUGCCACACUGAUGCAGUCGCGACAUGGGCAGGAGUCGAUGGGAGAGGAACAGCGUGGUUCAGCGGCCGCCGCGUCAGUUGCUGAGUCGUCUGUGCACAACGAGGGCGACUCGGGGCUGCGCACGCCAGCUGCUUCGCAGGUGGAGGAGAGCGGGAGCUGCGGUUGGGAGGAGCUGGAGGAAGGCCCAGCCCCGGCCGCGGAAUUGUCGGAGGUGGAGGACACCGCAGGUGCAGAGCAGGUGACGAGCGUGUCCAUGAGCCCGAUGCGCGAGGAGGCUUCAGACAACUGGAGCGAGCUGUCGUCUGUGGAGGAGGAGGAGGCGCUGGUGCAGGAGAGCCGAUUUGCGCCAGUAUCGGCGGAGCCCUCCAAGGACGAGAAGGAUGACGCCGUUCCGCUGUCGGAUGAGCUGAACGCCGUGGGGCUGUCUGCUCCCGCCGCCGCCGUGUCGACGUACUCCGAUGAGGAGACGCCGGCAACGCAAGUCAACGCAUCUCCGGCAACGCAGGCUGCCACGGAGGACGCCUACGAGGAGUUUGGCACGCAGUCUUCAAGUGAAGAGGAGGUGAAGGAGGCGGCUAUGGGCCUGAACGACGGUCGCGAUCUGCUCGACCGUCGUCGCGGUGUGGAGGCCGCAAUACACGAUGAUGAUUUUGACUUUUAGUGUCGAGCAACGUAUUCAGUUCUUUGUUUUUGAGUGUUGGCGAUCCUGUACAUUAUAGAGUGAUCGGGGGAGGGCCAAUCAUGGCCCUCGAUGGACGGGGAUGAAUCGCCUGUGUGCCUUUUGUGUGUGUAUGUGUGUGCGUGAUUCGACGACAAUACUGUCUUCGCCCGUGCUCGUUGAUGCACUGGCAAGCCGGCGCGUAUGCUUUGUUGCUGCUGUUCUUUGCUGAUGUUACUCAUUUUUUUUUACCCACAUCGGUUUGCCACCUGGUGGUGGUGCCGAUAUGUAUCCAUCGGUGGUGUAUGGGUGGCUCUGUUGGUGUUCUCGUCUCUCAACCCUCAGCCAAUGUAGAGGAGUUGAACACAAAGGAAGCAGACACACACACACACACACACACGCACCAAAAUCG